AUUGAACGCUGGCGGCAUGCUUUACACAUGCAAGUCGAACGGCAGCGCGGGCUUCGGCCUGGCGGCGAGUGGCGAACGGGUGAGUAAUGCAUCGGAACGUGCCCAGUAGUGGGGGAUAGCCCGGCGAAAGCCGGAUUAAUACCGCAUACGACCUGAGGGUGAAAGCGGGGGACCGAAAGGCCUCGCGCUAUUGGAGCGGCCGAUGUCGGAUUAGCUAGUUGGCGGGGUAAAGGCUUACCAAGGCGACGAUCCGUAGCUGGUCUGAGAGGACGACCAGCCACACUGAGACUGAGACACGGCCCAGACUCCUACGGGAGGCAGCAGUGGGGAAUUUUGGACAAUGGGGGCAACCCUGAUCCAGCCAUGCCGCGUGCGGGAAGAAGGCCUUCGGGUUGUAAACCGCUUUUGUUCGGGAAGAAAUCCUCUGGGCUAAUACCCCGGGGGGAUGACGGUACCGGAAGAAUAAGCACCGGCUAACUACGUG
rnacentral:rRNA from 1 species